CUGGACCCAUAAUUAUAUAUUUCUAUUUAUAAAUGAAUGCCAUGGGAUUUUAUCAUCAAUACUAUGGAUUUGUUAUCACCAUUAUUUCUGUGACCCAACUCAAGGUAUUUGAUAUUUUUAUUGUAAGUCACAGUCUCUAUUAGUGGAUUUUCUAGGUGUGUUGGAGCUCAGUGGCAGCCAGAUGAAUACAGGUUUGGAUCACCGACUGCAGUUCAAAAACCCUCAGAAUAUGUGUAUUGCAUGUGAAUUGUUCCUGCCCUGCAGCUUUGCUGGGUGAUCCCCUGUGGCCUGCCUGUGGGUAUUAACGAGGCUCCAAAAGGAGGUUCCUGGUGCUCCUGCUGGUCCUGGAAGCUGCCACAAGCACAGGCUGGAAAGUCAAGCCAUGUCCCCGGAUCACUGGUGAUCAACGCUGGGUGGGACCUGCCUGCAAAUUCGGCAGCUGAAUCAAAGCAGGAACUGUGGGUCCCUGGCAUUCUGGACAAACAUCCUCAGCCCUCAGGUGCACUGUGUAUUCUCAAGGUAAACUCACUGACUGGGAUGAAAAACUUCAGCUCUUCCUGAAGAAUGCUUCACUCAAAAAUUACCCAAUGGUAAGUAACCUUAUGUUCAUUUUGAUGUUUUAGCUACUGCAGAUAUUUUGCAAAAUAUUUAUCAGCUAGAUGCUAUGGCAUCUAGUGAAAACUAAAUAUUUGGUGAAAACUAAAUAUUUCUCACACCAAGACACCAUAUUGGGAUGGUAUUUCACCUACCUAGCAUAAUCACAAAUUAAUCCAGCAAAGUGAGGCUCUGAUGCCAUAAGAGGUUCCUAACAGAAGUUUAGUUCCUCGAAAUACCAUCACCAUUUAAAGUCCUCCUAGCUGGAAUGCAAACUGGAUCAAAUACUUCCAGUAAAUGGUGAUGUCCAGCUGGCACUGGGAGACUGAAGAGACAUGAAGCAUGAGCAGUCCCUGAGACUGUGUGGGUUGAAACCCAUGGUACUGUGACAGAUAUAGUGGCAGUAACACGCAAACACAGCUGGCAUUUGAACUCGCUUAUUGGCACUGCCAUUCCCUCAAGCAGGACAGCUGAAGCAGGUAUGAGAGCAGCGCCCACCAAAUAGCCCAACUAAGCUACGAUUCGAUGUGGCUGAAAGUCAAGGUGGAACUGAUUUUAUAAAACUUCCUUUGGUUUAAACCCUUGCAAGGUGUACUUAAAAUUGCAUAGCUCAGAUCCAAGCUACCCCUCCCAGCCGCGGC
rnacentral:lncRNA from 1 species